rnacentral:ncRNA from 2 species
GGCGGUGAAAUCCCGCCGCGGUCGCGCCACUGUCAGCGCGCGUCAGCCAAACGGCGAAAGCGCGCGAGCCAGA